rnacentral:rRNA from 1 species
GCACCCGCACAAGUGGUGGAGCAUGCUGUUUAAUUCGAAAAUACGCGAAGAACCUUACCUGGGCUUGACAUAGUGUUGAAAAGUUUAGAAAUAAACUCCCUCUUCGGAGCAACAUUACAGGUGGUGCAUGGUUGUCGUCAGCUCGUGUCGUGAGAUGUUUGGUUAAGUCCAAUAACGAGCGCAACCCUUAUCCUUAAUUGCUAACAUUUAGUUGAGAACCUUAAGGAGACUGCCGGUGACAAAUCGGAGGAAGAUGAGGAUGACGUCAAAUCAUCAUGCCCCUUACGUCCAGGGCUACAGGCGUGCUACAAUGACCAAUAUAAUGGGAAGCAAUAUCGUGAGAUGGAGCAAAUCCCUAAAGUUGGCCUCAGUUCGGACUGGAGUCUGCAACUCGACUCCACGAAGUUGGAAUCACUAGUAAUCCUAGAUCAGAAUGCUAGGGUGAAUACGUUCCCGGGUGUU